UACAGAGGGGGCAAGCGUUGUUCGGAAUUACUGGGCGUAAAGGGCGCGUAGGCGGCCUGCUAAGUCGAACGUGAAAUCCCUGGGCUCAACCCAGGAACUGCGUCCGAUACUGGUUGGCUUGAAUCCGGGAGAGGGAUGUGGAAUUCCAGGUGUAGUGGUGAAAUGCGUAGAUAUCGGGAGGAACACCAGUGGCGAAGGCGGCUUCCUGGCCUGUUCUUGACGCUGAGGCGCGAAAGCUAGGGGAGCAAACGGG
rnacentral:rRNA from 1 species